rnacentral:tRNA from 1 species
UGCGGGGUGGAGCAGUCCGGUAGCUCGUCGGGCUCAUAACCCGAAGGUCGCAGGUUCGAGUCCUGCCCCCGCUCCCA